rnacentral:rRNA from 4 species
GAGUUUGAUCGUGGCUCAGAUUGAACGCUGGCGGCAUGCCUUACACAUGCAAGUCGAACGGCAGCACGGGAGCUUGCUCCUGGUGGCGAGUGGCGAACGGGUGAGUAAUGCAUCGGAACGUAUCCUGGAGUGGGGGAUAACGUAGCGAAAGUUACGCUAAUACCGCAUAUUCUGUGAGCAGGAAAGCGGGGGACCUUCGGGCCUCGCGCUCUUGGAGCGGCCGAUGUCGGAUUAGCUAGUUGGUGAGGUAAAGGCUCACCAAGGCGACGAUCCGUAGCAGGUCUGAGAGGAUGAUCUGCCACACUGGAACUGAGACACGGUCCAGACUCCUACGGGAGGCAGCAGUGGGGAAUUUUGGACAAUGGGGGCAACCCUGAUCCAGCCAUGCCGCGUGAGUGAAGAAGGCCUUCGG